rnacentral:rRNA from 1 species
AGAGUUGAUCAUGGCUCAGGAUGAACGCUGGCGGCGUGCCUAAUACAUGCAAGUCGAGCGAACAGAUAAGGAGCUGCUCCUUGACGUAGCGGCGGACGGUGAGUAACACGUGGGUAACCUACCUAUAAGACUGGAAUAACUCCGGGAAACCGGGGCUAAUGCCGGAUAACAUUUAGAACCGCAUGGUUCUAAAGUGAAAGAUGGUUUUUGCUAUCACUUAUAGAUGGACCCGCGCCGUAUUAGCUAGUUGGUAAGGUAACGGCUUACCAAGGCAACGAUACGUAGCCGACCUGAGAGGGUGAUCGGCCACACUGGAACUGAGACACGGUCCAGACUCCUACGGGAGGCAGCAGUAGGGAAUCUUCCGCAAUGGGCGAAAGCCUGACGGAGCAACGCCGCGUGAAGUGAUGAAGGUCUUCGGAUUGUAAAACUCUGUUAUUAGGGAAGAACAAAUGUGUAAGUAACUAUGCACGUCUUGACGGUACCUAAUCAGAAAGCCACGGCUAACUACGUGCCAGCCGCGGC